UGGGGAAUUUUGGACAAUGGGCGAAAGCCUGAUCCAGCAAUGCCGCGUGUGUGAAGAAGGCCUUCGGGUUGUAAAGCACUUUUGUCCGGAAAGAAAUCCUUGGCUCUAAUACAGUCGGGGGAUGACGGUACCGGAAGAAUAAGCACCGGCUAACUACGUGCCAGCAGCCGCGGUAAUACGUAGGGUGCAAGCGUUAAUCGGAAUUACUGGGCGUAAAGCGUGCGCAGGCGGUUUGCUAAGACCGAUGUGAAAUCCCCGGGCUCAACCUGGGAACUGCAUUGGUGACUGGCAGGCUAGAGUAUGGCAGAGGGGGGUAGAAUUCCACGUGUAGCAGUGAAAUGCGUAGAGAUGUGGAGGAAUACCGAUGGCGAAGGCAGCCCCCUGGGCUAAUACUGACGCUCAUGCACGAAAGCGUGGGGAGCAAACAGGAUUAGAUACCCUGGUAGUCCACGCCCUAAACGAUGUCAACUAGUUGUUGGGGAUUCAUUUCCUUAGUAACGUAGCUAACGCGUGAAGUUGACCGCCUGGGGAGUACGGUCGCAAGAUUAAAACUCAAAUGAAUUGACGGGGUCAUAGCUGUUUCCU
rnacentral:rRNA from 1 species